rnacentral:lncRNA from 1 species
GCCUAUUGUGGGACCUUAUGAUCAUGCAAAAGGACUUGUAAGUAUCAUGCUCUUUCUCUUCGAAGAGCUGGAGAAAUCAGAGGCUCUGAACCUCAUGGAAGAACGCACAGGCAAACCAGGCAAAAGCUGGAGUUUCAACUGCAGUCAGCCGGCCUUCACUUUAUCUUAUGCUGCCUUUGCCCUCCAGAGAGGUUUUGUUCCCAAAAAAUCUCCGAAAGGUGCCCAGCUAUGACAUCCAGCACUUCAUUUGUUGAUUCGAAGACCUGGGUUAAAAUACCAGCUCUGCCAUUUCAUUCAAGAUUCCCCUGAAUUCACAUUUAUUGGACACUAUGGUAUGUCGAAACUGUGCUCUGAUGAGGGAAUGAAAAGCUGAAUCAGGUGUGACUACUGCUUUCAAGGUGCUGCAGACUUUAUUGUGUUUCCCCAAGUUCAUAUGUUGAAGCCAUAACCUCCAGUGUGGCUGCAUUGGCAGAUAGGGCCUCUAAGUGGGUAGUGGAGGUUACAUGUGUCAUCGGGGUGCGGCCCUGAACCAAAAGGAUUAGUGUUCUUAUAAGAAGAGAUGCCAGAAAGAAAACAAAAAGAAAAAGAAAAGAAGAAAAGACAGGCC